rnacentral:rRNA from 1 species
UUGAAGAGUUUGAUCAUGGCUCAGAUUGAACGCUGGCGGCAGGCCUAACACAUGCAAGUCGAGCGGUAGCACAGAGAGCUUGCUCUCGGGUGACGAGCGGCGGACGGGUGAGUAAUGUCUGGGAAACUGCCUGAUGGAGGGGGAUAACUACUGGAAACGGUAGCUAAUACCGCAUAACGUCGCAAGACCAAAGUGGGGGACCUUCGGGCCUCAUGCCAUCAGAUGUGCCCAGAUGGGAUUAGCUAGUAGGUGGGGUAACGGCUCACCUAGGCGACGAUCCCUAGCUGGUCUGAGAGGAUGACCAGCCACACUGGAACUGAGACACGGUCCAGACUCCUACGGGAGGCAGCAGUGGGGAAUAUUGCACAAUGGGCGCAAGCCUGAUGCAGCCAUGCCGCGUGUGUGAAGAAGGCCUUCGGGUUGUAAAGCACUUUCAGCGGGGAGGAAGGCGAUAAGGUUAAUAACCUUGUCGAUUGACGUUACCCGCAGAAGAAGCACCGGCUAACUCCGUGCCAGCAGCCGCGGUAAUACGGAGGGUGCAAGCGUUAAUCGGAAUUACUGGGCGUAAAGCGCACGCAGGCGGUCUGUCAAGUCGGAUGUGAAAUCCCCGGGCUCAACCUGGGAACUGCAUUCGAAACUGGCAGGCUAGAGUCUUGUAGAGGGGGGUAGAAUUCCAGGUGUAGCGGUGAAAUGCGUAGAGAUCUGGAGGAAUACCGGUGGCGAAGGCGGCCCCCUGGACAAAGACUGACGCUCAGGUGCGAAAGCGUGGGGAGCAAACAGGAUUAGAUACCCUGGUAGUCCACGCCGUAAACGAUGUCGAUUUGGAGGUUGUGCCCUUGAGGCGUGGCUUCCGGAGCUAACGCGUUAAAUCGACCGCCUGGGGAGUACGGCCGCAAGGUUAAAACUCAAAUGAAUUGACGGGGGCCCGCACAAGCGGUGGAGCAUGUGGUUUAAUUCGAUGCAACGCGAAGAACCUUACCUUGGUCUUGACAUCCACAGAACUUUCCAGAGAUGGAUUGGUGCCUUCGGGAACUGUGAGACAGGUGCUGCAUGGCUGUCGUCAGCUCGUGUUGUGAAAUGUUGGGUUAAGUCCCGCAACGAGCGCAACCCUUAUCCUUUGUUGCCAGCGGUUAGGCCGGGAACUCAAAGGAGACUGCCAGUGAUAAACUGGAGGAAGGUGGGGAUGACGUCAAGUCAUCAUGGCCCUUACGACCAGGGCUACACACGUGCUACAAUGGCAUAUACAAAGAGAAGCGACCUCGCGAGAGCAAGCGGACCUCAUAAAGUAUGUCGUAGUCCGGAUUGGAGUCUGCAACUCGACUCCAUGAAGUCGGAAUCGCUAGUAAUCGUAGAUCAGAAUGCUACGGUGAAUACGUUCCCGGGCCUUGUACACACCGCCCGUCACACCAUGGGAGUGGGUUGCAAAAGAAGUAGGUAGCUUAACCUUCGGGAGGGCGCUUACCACUUUGUGAUUCAUGACUGGGGUGAAGUCGUAACAAGGUAACCGUAGGGGAACCUGCGGUUGGAUCACCUCCUU